GUUAACUCCUUUGUACGAAAAUAUCAUGUCGUAGCCCUUCAAAUUAGAAUAGUGAUGAUGAUCUUGUCAAUGCUGAGAUUUUCAUGCAUCAACAGCCACUACAUCUGGAUCAGAUUGAACAAGAAACAGACAGCAAGGGUUGUCAGGUCAGAAACAGAAUGACACACGAACACAAGAAACCUCACAGGCAGAUCAACAUGCAAUUUGAAGACGUGUGAUAAAAUACAGAGAGGUGAAGUAGUGUGUCUUUCCAGAUCCCCAAAUCAUUCCCCCUUAAAAGGCCUGAAGAGGAGAUUUGGGAAGAUGCUGUUUCAUAAGUCGCUUUGCCAGACCACCUGUGGUAA